AUUGAACGCUGGCGGCAGGCCUAACACAUGCAAGUCGAGCGGAUGAAGGGAGCUUGCUCCUGGAUUCAGCGGCGGACGGGUGAGUAAUGCCUAGGAAUCUGCCUGGUAGUGGGGGAUAACGUCCGGAAACGGGCGCUAAUACCGCAUACGUCCUGAGGGAGAAAGUGGGGGAUCUUCGGACCUCACGCUAUCAGAUGAGCCUAGGUCGGAUUAGCUAGUUGGUGGGGUAAAGGCCUACCAAGGCGACGAUCCGUAACUGGUCUGAGAGGAUGAUCAGUCACACUGGAACUGAGACACGGUCCAGACUCCUACGGGAGGCAGCAGUGGGGAAUAUUGGACAAUGGGCGAAAGCCUGAUCCAGCCAUGCCGCGUGUGUGAAGAAGGUCUUCGGAUUGUAAAGCACUUUAAGUUGGGAGGAAGGGCAGUAAGUUAAUACCUUGCUGUUUUGACGUUACCAACAGAAUAAGCACCGGCGACUUCGUG
rnacentral:rRNA from 1 species